AUCUCUCUCAUUGCAGAAAGCUCUUUCAGUAUGUUUCAUCUCUCCAUGCGUUCACUGUAGAAGCUCUUACAAUUUUCAUACUACAUUUUUCAGACUUUCAACAAUGCUCUUUCAGUCUUGUUCAUCUUAUUCGCUAUUCAGUCUGUGAUUCAUUAGCUAUAAUUUUAUUUUUAACAGAGAUUUUACUAGCCAAAAGUACAGGAAUUUGCCUCCUUUUGCUUAGAGUUGAUGGAGAAUUCGGUUCGAUCAAAUUUGUUUUUAGAAGUUUCCUCAGUUGAAGUGGUUUCUUCCAUGCUAUCACAUUACCGUGAUGAAUGAACUUCUGCAUAUAGUGGUAACUGGUAAUAGCAUAAAGAGAAUCUUAACUGACCUUGCUGCAUAACGUAAGGCCAUUUUCUCGAGGACAUUGGAGAUGAUCAGAUGGUUUAACAUAGAGCAAGAAUUCUACAUCCCGAAGAAUAAUGUGUGUGAAUGUUGAUGGCAUAUAAAGAUGAAUCUAUUCACAUGUUCUCACUUCUCAGGAUUGAUGUUAAUAUUUUUUUGUUUGAAGAACAACCGCUUAAGAAUGUCAAAUCUGAUUUUACUUCCAUAUAGACCAUGUGUUGUAGGACCAGCCACCACCAAGUCUUCUGUCAAAGAAAAGAAAGUGGUUUAGAUAUUAUUGAGUCCAGCAUGGUAUACAAUACCAACAUACAAGACGAGGCCACUUAAUGACAAGUUAACAACAAGCUUUGAGCAGCUGCGGAGUUGAACAGAGUGUUGAUAAUGGGUCAGCCUUGCAAGAAGAAGCAUGGUGAAAAAGAUAGUUAUUUGAAGGGCGCAGCAUUUAUGUCAUUUUUACACAUACUGUAAAGUAGAACCAUAUUGUACCCGUGUUAUACUAAAAUCUCUCUUGUUUAUGGUUAUUUAUCCUUGAUUUCAGCAAGAAUCAUG